rnacentral:rRNA from 1 species
UUGAGUUUUAAUUGUUCCUCUGUAAAAGGUUCGGGCGCCUAGCCAGAGGUUUGCGUCUGAUUAGCUAGUUUUUUGGGUAAUGGCUUACCAAGGUGAUGAUCAGUAGCUGGUCUGAGAGGACCACCAGCCAGACGGGGACUGAGACACGGCCCUGACUCCUACGGGAGGCUGCAGCAAGGAAUUUUGCGCAAUGGGGGAAAGCCUGACGCAGCGACUCCGACGUGGGGGACGAAGACCUUCGGGUUGUAAACCCCUUUUCCUGGGGAAGAAUUAUGACGGUACCCAGGGAAUAAGUCUUGGCUAACUACGUGCCAG